rnacentral:lncRNA from 1 species
UGUGUUUUCUAUCUUCUUAAAUACGCAUCUGCCGCCUCCUCAAUGAUUCCACUUUCAAAUCCUUCUCAUCCUCAAUGAAUCAUCUUCCAUUUGUUCUUUUCAAGAUCUCCCUCUGCUAAGCACUUUAAUGUUAUCAUCAACGGUGAUAUUUCAAGUGAAGAUCCAAUAGAAUAAAGGGUUAAAAUGUAUCAUCAACGGUUAUAUUUCAAGUGAAGAUCCGAUAGAAUAAAGAGAAAUCGAAGAAAGAGGCGAUCAACAGCGCUUCUGGUGUAUUGGAUCUGUUAAUGGAGGCAUUGAAGAAUGUUUUAUCAACGAGAAGCGAAUUAAAGAUAUAUAUUCUGACUCAAGCUUGAUGGUGCAACUGUUGCGAGGUGUCCCUCAUCGUAACAUGUAGCAGAUAUAGAUGCUAAGGAAUGUCCAGGCGCAUCAUUAAUGCUAUUGAGGAGGUUUGGGUAUGUCGGGCGUAAGCAGAUUUGGACCAUUGGAACUGAACGCUGCAACCACCGGUGAUGAGCAACUGUAAAAUUAGUAGCGAGACAAGAGGAUGCUUGUUUCAAGGGUUGCAAGAAAAUAGAAAUGGUGGAUUAAACAAAGAUUAGGAUUCUAAGGAAAUGACUAUGCAGUUCUUUGAGCAUAGGUUACCAUCUAAAGUUAAAAGUCAAUGAAUGGAGUUAUUUUAGAUGUCGGUAAUAUUAUUUAAUUCUUUGGGUUAUUAGAAUUUCAUCUUCAUUAUUUUUUAUAUAUUUGAAUAUUAUUGUCUUGCUCUAUGGAUUAUAAACACCAUACAUAACUAAAUUUAUUCCUAUUACAAUGGGUUUAGCAUUGGUACCACCAUUGGUACCGCAUAAUAUCAACACCAAUGUUUAUUUUAUAUUUUUAAACACUUAUAAAUUGGUUGGUUCAUUUUAUAAAGGGGACUCGAUUUACUAAGGGAAAUGUUUUGGAAAUUCAAAGGAUAUGCAUCUUUAAAUGGACUCAACUAUCUUUAAAUUGUAUAAACCUGCAUCAGUUAACUUAGAAUCUAUGUUGAAUGAAAUUGGGCCUCUAAAGGUAUGAAGGUUAUUACAUCAUCUUUUUGUUUCAAAUUUGCUUUAAUUAAUCAGGUUUAUAUUCUUUUAUUCCCGGUUGUAUAAUUCAUUCAUGUUUAAGAUUUUUACUAAUUUCCAUUUAUCUUCAUGUUCUUUGUGAGGUAGAUGAGUACAUUUAAUAAAUUUAUUUUUUUUACUUAUAUGCAGGUUUAUAUCCGGCUUUUUGUCUACAAUAUGUAUUUUUUUAAAGUCCUUACGUCUGUUAAUUUGAAGAUCUUGGUAAGUUUAUUAUACAAACACAUCAUUUUUUCGGCAUUUGUUUAUUUGUGGUAUAGUGAUUUAGAUUUUUAUCUAAAGCUAUGAAAAACAUCAUAUUCAUCCAUCGAUUAGUUUGACUUUUUUAAAUAAUUUUGAAUUUCAAAGUUAAUAAAUAAAAUCUUUAUCAAAUUCGAAUCCUUACUUUUGGUAAAUUAAAUAGAAUUAUAUUUCUUCUAUAAUUCUCAAUUAUUAUUGAUAAUAAAUUAAAUUAUCUUACAAUGGAUUCAAAAUUCAAAGAUAACAUCUUUGUAUUAUUGUCAUACGUUUUAUUAUUUCUUUAAAAUUAAAUUUAAAAUCAUCUUUAACAAAUUCUGAUUUUUAUUUUUGGUAAUCAAACAUGUACCAUUCUCAAAAUUUUAUUUUGGGUAACUUUAAAAAAUAACUUUCUCUUAUUUUAGUUUGUAGAAUUUCUUAAAAUAACUCCCCUAAUUUUUAUUAUAUAUACAUGUUCCAAAGCCUCAUCCUCAAAUACGGUUUAGAUUUCUUAAACCUAUAGAAAUAUCAGUUUUCAAAAUGGAACCUCAAAACAUAACCAUGUUGAACAAUCUCAAUCGUUUGUCAAACAACUAUACACUCAAGUUGAAGAUCAUUUCCCUUUGGAGGAAAUGAAAAUGAUGCACGACCGUCCGACUGAAACAUACCGUGUCUACAUGAUAUGUAUGGAUGAAGAGGGUCAACAGAUUUAGGGUAGCUGUAUGCAUAGGAUUUUCCCAAGGCUUCAGGACAGCUGGAUGAAUGUCUUCUGAUAACCAGACAAUCACUUGCACCCAACAAUUCAACCUAUAACUACACCAAAAAUAAUCAGAAGUUAACUUUCAGUUUUUUCACCCAGAUUCAAAAAAGUCAAGAUUGGAACGGGCCUAAGUAUAACUUUAAUUUUAUGAAUUUCAAGGACGUUGUCCAAAAUUGAAUUGAAGUUAAUACCACUGUUGGUAUGUCAUUUAAUUCAACAUGUU